rnacentral:lncRNA from 1 species
CAGUAUCUGCAUUGGUAGGCAAGCAUUAACAUAUAUCCCAAAAAAAUAAACAAAAAAAAGGUAUAGAUAAUAAAUUUGCAAAAAAACACUAAUUUAUCUGUCUUUUGUGUCUUGAAUUCAUAGAUUUGUGAUGUUUAGAUUUUAGAAACAUGUGACUAUCUUGGACUUAAUAUAACCGUGUGCACCUCAAAUCGUUAAAGUAGGAUCUCACUCUGAAAACAAUAGUAACAAAGAAACUAAGACAUUAUCCAGACUUCUCAUUAAAACCCUAGUGUUUGUAAGCUACCAUACCUCUGUAGUUUGCCAAAGACAUGUCAAGUAGAAUCCUCCACAUAUGUAGUCUAAGAUACCUUACAUGUACAAAUAGUUAUUUGAAACCAUGAGUUAUUGGAUAUAACUAUUAGUUCACAACUUAACACUCAAUUCCCAGUAAUUUAUAUGGUUCCCAAUCAGUGUUAGGUGACCAGAUAUUCCCUAGUUCGCUUCUGAAAGCCAGAGUGUCUCUAAGUGACUGUUGAACCAUAAAAGGUGUUAAUGUU